AUUGAACGCUGGCGGCAUGCCUUACACAUGCAAGUCGAACGGUAACGGGCCUUCGGGUGCCGACGAGUGGCGAACGGGUGAGUAAUACAUCGGAACGUGCCCGAUCGUGGGGGAUAACGAGGCGAAAGCUUUGCUAAUACCGCAUACGAUCUACGGAUGAAAGCAGGGGACCGCAAGGCCUUGCGCGGACGGAGCGGCCGAUGGCAGAUUAGGUAGUUGGUGGGAUAAAAGCUUACCAAGCCGACGAUCUGUAGCUGGUCUGAGAGGAUGAUCAGCCACACUGGGACUGAGACACGGCCCAGACUCCUACGGGAGGCAGCAGUGGGGAAUUUUGGGCAAUGGGCGCAAGCCUGAUCCAGCCAUGCCGCGUGCAGGAUGAAGGCCUUCGGGUUGUAAACUGCUUUUGUACGGAACGAAAAGCCUUCUUUUAAUACAGGAGGGUCAUGACGGUACCGUAAGAAUAAGCACCGGCUAACUACGUG
rnacentral:rRNA from 1 species